GCGCGCGUGGCGGAACUGGUAGACGCGCAGGAUUUAGGUUCCUGUGACUUUGUCGUGAGGGUUCGACUCCCUUCGCGCGCACCC
rnacentral:tRNA from 1 species